AGAAUAAAAAGAAGCCCAGCCGGCCACACCGCCAAGGCCCAGCCUGGCUGCCAGGCAACCCCAGCCACACACGCACGCACCCCAGCCACACACGCACGCAAGGGGAUAAGCCCCAGGCCGCUCCUCUCCAACCUCUGGCUGAGAUCUCACCGCUUGCCUUCCUCGAUUCCCCUCUCUUCUCUCCUCUCGCUUUCAAGACCCCCGUCAGCCAGCGCUCCCUUCCCCAGCGCUCCCUCUCUCUACACCCGCAAGCGGCUUCGCCUCCCCGCUCGCUGGGCUCUCUCCCCUCUCCAGCUCGACCUCGCCUCCAAGCCGAGCGCCUCAGGCUGCAGCUCGUCGGCCAUGCUCUCCGACUGUUGUGCCUUCCCUCCCGGCCAGCAGUCGGGUCUCCAUCUCCGGCCGCGACGCCACAAGGUGCGGUCAUUCUCGUGCUCCAAAGUAGGUUCGUGCAACGCAAUGUGGUCGACUAGGUCAUGCCAUGCGCCAGCCUCCAUUGGACCGAACGGCCGUCGGAAUGCAAGGUGGCCUAAGUUAAUAAGCGCCACCUCAACAGAGAUCCUAGGUUCGACUGCGAUGGCGAACAGGCCUGGGAAUCGUGCCGCGAAGGGGAUCCAGGGCCGCUUCUUCUGGGCAGGGGCAACUAAUCGGCUGCAGCACACGCCGGAAAAGGGCAGGAUUUUCCUGGUAAAAAAGUUCAUCUGCAACCCAUAAAAGAUGGCAUUCAGGGUCGUUGAAAGCCCUUAUAUGAUGCAGUUGACACGGUUUAUCACAACUAUUCCACAAUCUAGUCUUGAGGAAGGUUUUCCAUUUUGCACUUACGGCUUCACUUCCUUUUUCGGGUGAGAAUAUGGCCUCACUUCCUUGGAGGACAUCCAUGUACCUUCAAGUGUGACUCCCAUCUUCAUUAGUUGAUACCUGAGCUUUUUACAUUAUAAAUGUGUACCUCUUUUUUUCUGACAUAUUUUUGUGUGUUUAGCUUUAGAGGUGAUGGACAUGAUCAUUGUAGUCUCGGAUGUUGUUCUUGUCUAGUCAUAUCAUCAGUAGCAGCUCUCUAACACCUGGACGGUUCUUGUUAUUGA